rnacentral:rRNA from 1 species
CCUACGGGAGGCAGCAGUGGGGAAUAUUGCACAAUGGGGGGAACCCUGAUGCAGCGACGCCGCGUGAGCGAGGAAGUAUUUCGGUAUGUAAAGCUCUAUCAGCAGGGACGAAAAAAGACGGUACCUGACUAAGAAGCCCCGGCUAACUACGUGCCAGCAGCCGCGGUAAUACGUAGGGGGCAAGCGUUAUCCGGAUUUAUUGGGUUUAAAGGGUGCGUAGGCGGAAUUUCAAGUUAGCGGUAAAAUGUCCGGGCUAAACCCGGGCCGGCCGUUGAAAGUGGUGAUCUUGAGUGGGCGAGAAGUAUGCGGAAUGCGUGGUGUAGCGGUGAAAUGCAUAGAUAUCACGCAGAACUCCGAUUGCGAAGGCAGCAUACCGGCGCCCGACUGACGCUGAGGCACGAAAGCGUGGGGAUCGAACAGGAUUAGAUACCCUGGUAGUC